ensembl:snRNA U6 U6 spliceosomal RNA
GUGCUCAUUUUGGCAGCACAUGUACUAAAAUUAGAAUGAGAAUGACAAGAUUAGCAUGGCCCCUGAGCAAGGAUGACUCACAAAUUUGUGAAGAAUUGGCAUAUAAG